AAAGAAGUAAAAUUUACAUUUAGUUUCGACCUAAAAUUAAAGAUUAUUCUUCAUGUUUU
rnacentral:tRNA from 1 species